rnacentral:lncRNA from 1 species
AUAGACAAUAAUAGUGCAUUGACUUGACAUAUCAACGAUAUAAGGAUGAGGCUUAGAAACGGGGAAAUGCGAGGCUGUGCCGAGCAUUUUCCCCGUUUCGGGCCGAAUCCUUAUAUCGUUGAUAUGUCAAGUCAAUGCACUAUUAUUGUCUUUAUACUGCAAUCUUAAAAAAAAACAUUUUCAAUUGUUGUUUAUUGUGUUAAUGUUAUUUAUUUGAUUUAAAUAUUGGGAAAAAUCCCCUUUAAAAAGGCCUCAUAUCACACAGACGGAGAAAUAUAAAACACGAUGAAAUGUACAUCAUUACCGCAAUCAAUGGUGAACGAAUUCGUUGCAGACUAAAAUAUCAACAAUAAACAUAAAAUAUAAUGAUUUAUAGGUUGCAAACAAAAAAAUAUUAAUAAGUGAAAUAUGUUUUCCCAAAAAUUGCAAAAGAAACAAGUUUGAGUCGUUAAACGUAUCGUUGUUUACAUUGGAAACAAGAACAGGUUGAAAAGGUCGUAUGAAUAAUUAAAUAUAAUUUCGACAAUUUCUAUUUAAAUAUUCAUGAGGAAAAGUGAUAUCAGGUCAGUGACUGUAUAUGGCAUAGAAAUAUACAGUCAACGCAUUUUGACUGCUCAAAUAGAACGAGUGCAGUAUAAAUAAC